GACGAACGCUGGCGGCGUGCCUAAUACAUGCAAGUCGAGCGAAGUUUUUCUGGUGCUUGCACCGGAAAAACUUAGCGGCGAACGGGUGAGUAACACGUAAAGAACCUGCCUCAUAGACUGGGACAACUAUUGGAAACGAUAGCUAAUACCGGAUAACAGCAUUAACUGCAUGGUUGAUGUUUAAAAGUUGGUUAUGCUAACACUAUGAGAUGGCUUUGCGGUGCAUUAGCUAGUUGGUGGGGUAAAGGCCUACCAAGGCGACGAUGCAUAGCCGACCUGAGAGGGUGAUCGGCCACACUGGGACUGAGACACGGCCCAGACUCCUACGGGAGGCAGCAGUAGGGAAUCUUCCGCAAUGGGCGAAAGCCUGACGGAGCAACGCCGCGUGAGUGAAGAAGGAUUUCGGUUCGUAAAGCUCUGUUGUUAGGGAAGAAUGAUUGUGUAGUAACUAUACACAGCAGAGACGGUACCUAACCAGAAAGCCACGGCUAACUACGUGCCAUCAGCCGCGGUAAUACGUAGGUGGCCAGCGUUGUCCGGAAUUUUUGG
rnacentral:rRNA from 1 species